GCAAUGGUGAUUCAGUGGUAAAAUUCUCACCUUUCAUGUGGGAGACCAGGGUUCAAUUCUCAGCCACUACC
rnacentral:tRNA from 1 species